rnacentral:lncRNA from 1 species
GGGUUUAUCAAAUCUUAAUUAAAAACAUAAGAUGCAGCACAUGAUGAAAAAAAAAUACUUUUUAUUAAUAUAAAAUGUCAUUUAUAUAAGUCUGAAAGAUUACAAAAAAAAUCCCUUAUACACAUGUCGAUUGACUUGUAAGGCAUAUUCCUUUCACAUAGGUCAAAGGACUAUUUACACAACUACAGCAUCGAGACAAUCACUGAUGAAUGAAUAAAAAUUCUAGUGA